GGGUUCUAUGUCAGGCGUAUUUCCUGUUCAAAAGAAAAGGUUGUCAGGACGGGACCAUCACGUGUACGACUCAAGAGUGAAGUGGAGCGUGUCUUCACUCCAGGUGAUAGUCACACUCGGUGAAGCAAAACUGUCGCUGCGGUCUGACGACCCUGAUCAUAGGGAAACCAACAGCGUCGUUCACUUUGUCAACGAGGAAUACACAGCUGGUCAUACAUUUCCUUCAGUUGAAAGAGACGACGUAGAAAAAGAGGUUCCUAUCUUUCAUAGAUGCUCACGCUGAACAGGAAUGACAACUCAGCAAGUCUUAUUAUUCAGCAUCCACAAUUUUUAUUGAUAGUAUUGAGAAAUAAAGAUUGCAACACGAUGCCAAUA